UACGCCACUUUUGCUCCCAGCAAUCACCCAGCAGACUCUUGCUCCUGGAAUUGACUCUGACCCUAGAAGUGUUGUGAUUCUUUUUCCAGCUCAUGCAGCUAGGCAAUGGGGAGUCUGAAGGCAGCUCACU